rnacentral:rRNA from 1 species
UACGAAGGGAGCUAGCGUUGUUCGGAAUCACUGGGCGUAAAGCGCACGUAGGCGGGUUUGUCAGUCAGGGGGGAAAUCCCGGAGCUCAACUUCGGAACUGCCCUUGAUACAGCAAGCCUUAGAGUCCGGAAGAGGUGGGUGGAAUUCCUAGUGUAGAGGUGAAAUUCGUAGAUAUUAGGAAGAACACCGGUGGCGAAGGCGGCCCACUGGUCCGGCACUGACGCUGAGGUGCGAAAGCGUGGGGAGCAAACAGG